rnacentral:tRNA from 1 species
GCGGGUGUAGCUCAGGUGGUUAGAGCGCCAGAUUGUGGCUCUGGAGGUCGUGGGUUCAAACCCCAUCAUUCGCCCCA